rnacentral:rRNA from 1 species
GUGGCGGACGGGUGAGUAACACGUGGGAACGUGCCUUUAGGUUCGGAAUAACUCAGGGAAACUUGUGCUAAUACCGAAUGUGCCCUUCGGGGGAAAGAUUUAUCGCCUUUAGAGCGGCCCGCGUCUGAUUAGCUAGUUGGUGAGGUAAAGGCUCACCAAGGCGACGAUCAGUAGCUGGUCUGAGAGGAUGAUCAGCCACAUUGGGACUGAGACACGGCCCAAACUCCUACGGGAGGCAGCAGUGGGGAAUCUUGCGCAAUGGGCGAAAGCCUGACGCAGCCAUGCCGCGUGAAUGAUGAAGGUCUUAGGAUUGUAAAAUUCUUUCACCGGGGACGAUAAUGACGGUACCCGGAGAAGAAGCCCCGGCUAACUUCGUGCCAGCAGCCGCGGUAAUACGAAGGGGGCUAGCGUUGCUCGGAAUUACUGGGCGUAAAGGGAGCGUAGGCGGACAUUUAAGUCAGGGGUGAAAUCCCGGGGCUCAACCUCGGAAUUGCCUUUGAUACUGGGUGUCUUGAGUAUGAGAGAGGUGUGUGGAACUCCGAGUGUAGAGGUGAAAUUCGUAGAUAUUCGGAAGAACACCAGUGGCGAAGGCGACACACUGGCUCAUUACUGACGCUGAGGCUCGAAAGCGUGGGGAGCAAACAGGAUUAGAUACCCUGGUAGUCCACGCCGUAAACGAUGAUUGCUAGUUGUCGGGAUGCAU